UGACUGAGUGACUGGACUGAACUGAACUGAACCCCAAACUAGACUUGUUUACUAAUUUCUUUGUUGCUUGAGUGAGAAGAAAUAUAAUACCUUUUGUGGCUCUAUUUCCUUAACUGAUAUGAUCCGUAGAAUUCAGGUAUGCACCAACAAACUGCUGGCCCAGAGGAAGUGAAUUUUCUACCAUCACAGGAUCCAUCCAUAAAGAGUACAGAGAACUUGGAAUCUCCCUCUGCUGCUGAAUAAAAGGAAAUGAUCUGAUUUCCUAGAUAAUGGCUAUGUUCCAGCUCCUAUGGCUGUCAUUAACUGUUUGACUAAGAAAGAAAUCAUCAAGCAUUUAUAGAGCCUCAACUGUGUGCCACACAAUAUGUUGACGAAUUUUUCCAAACGUCUCAUUUUUUUCAGCUUUACAGUUCUGUGGACUGUAAAAUCACUCAUUAUUUCAAAUGAGGAAUUUAAAGUUUAAAGAAAUAAAGAGUGUUGGUCAAAGUCAAACAUGAUAAGUUUUAAUUAUGGUUUACUCCAGACUUUCUGCCUAUAAGUCAAUCACAUCAUAGGCACCUAUAUUAACUUGGGUGCUUUGAUAAUUUUUUUUUUAUUUCUAUAUUUCUAUACAGUGAUAUGAUCUGCUGUGAUAGUUGCUUGGUUUUAAUUCCUUCUCUCCCCCUUCCUCUUUCUUUCUUCUUUUCAACAAUACUGAUGUGAUAAUAAAUUUAUCUUCAAAAUAAAAAUCUUUGGCA